GAAAGAUUAAAACCUGUAAAAGGAACUCGGCAAACCCGUCAAGGCCCGACUGUUUACCAAAAACAUAGCCUUCAGCAAACCAAAGGACAAGUAUUGAAGGUGAUGCCUGCCCGGUGACAUAGUUCAACGGCCGCGGUAUCCUAACCGUGCAAAGGUAGCGCAAUCAAUUGUCCCGUAAAUCGGGACACGUAUGAAUGGCUAAACGAGGUCUUAACUGUCUGUUACAGGCAAUCGGUGAAAUUGAUCUCCCUGUGCGAAAGCAGGGAUAACCCCAUAAGACGAGAAGACCCUGUGGAACUUCAAAAACAGCAACCACCCCAAUAUACAUUCACACCCAAAGCACUGGUUAGCAUUUUUUCGGUUGGGGCGACCUUGGAGCAAAACAAAACCUCCAAAAACUGGACCAUCCCUCCAGACUGAGAGCAACCCCUCAACGUGCCAAAAGCACCCAGAUCCAAUACAAUUGAUCAAUGGACCAAGCUACCCCAGGGAUAACAGCGCAAUCUCCCCCGAGAGUCCAUAUCGACGGGGAGGUUUACGACCUCGAUGUUGGAUCAGGACAUCCUAGUGGUGCAGGAGCUACUAAGGGUUCGUUUGUUCAACGAUUAACAGUCCUACGUGAUCUGAGUUCAGACCGGAGCAAUCCAGGUCGGUUUCUAUCUAUGAUGAACUCUUCCUCGUACGAAAGGAUCGGAAAAGUGAGGCCAAUACCACAAGCAAGCCUUCGCCUUAAGUAAUGAAGCCAACUCAAUUACAAAAGGCUAUCACCCCACACCACGUCCAAGAAAAGGACGUAA
rnacentral:rRNA from 1 species